AUAGAUAUAUAUACACACACCACAUUCUCCAUUGUCUACACAAAUAUAUUCCAAAUAUAUUGGUUUGCUCCUUGUGCUGUCUCUUCAGGUAUCCAUUUCUGUGAUUUUUGUGUCAUCUGCUGAUGAAAGCCUUGCAAGCCACCUCUUCACAUACAGUACUGGGUUGAAAGAAUACACAGGACUGGUCCAAGCAAGCUAAUGAACAUCAGUUGUGCAAGCUGAGGGAAUCUCUGUAUCUACUGGCCAGUUACUCAUACCUAAGACUUGUAUCUGAUCGAUCGGCUCAUUGAAGUUGGAGGCAGUAUGUUGAUUAUGCCUGCCAGGAAGGAUAGAGCAAUUUGAGACCACAGUGGUAAGUAACAGAGAUCUAAGAUUGCUGGCUAAGCUAAGGCAAAAAUGUUGCUGGCUGAUUGUUUGUGGAUGGAUGCAUUUUUCAACAGUGGUACUGACUUGAAAACCUGUUCAGCAACAGCUUGCUAUGGUUUUGGAUAUAUAUGGGGGAGCUUCUUGUUUCAUCUUCCCAAUUGCCCAAACAGUUCUAUUGACCACUGGAUACACUCAAGCUAAAGUAGGUGUUCCGCCACUUCAGUUACCUCCUCUAGACUAUCCAUCAAAAGUCCCAAUUUUAAAACAAACUCUUCAGAGGCCAAUGACCUAGUAAGCCCCUGGAAAGUCUCUUGGGUCUUGGCAUCAUAUGAUUGAUCUUCAGACACAAAUGUGAAAUGUGUGUGAAGAGCUGUAUAAUUUUCCCACACCGCCACUACCACGCUAAAAGUGGAAGCCACCCAACACACCCUCCGAAUUUUUCUGACUUUAAGUUGUACAGCAAAUUUGGAGGCACAAGAACUAAGUUCCCAUUGGUUUUUGAGAGACUGGCUAUAAACUGAGUGCACCGAGUCCAUUACAAUUUUGAAGUGAUUUAUUCGUCCAACUUCCUCAAUGGUAUUCCCAAUGCUAAAUUCAUUUCUGUGACACAGACAGUACCACUGGAUAAGAUUUGUAGUUCUUGGCUAAACUAGUCAGCACUCCACUUUAUGUCUCAACCAUGACACUAGCACCGUCACUACAUACAUUGAUAAAGUUCCCAAUCAAAUAUUCAUUGCACAAACCAUGUUUUACUAAACAAGCAUUGAUUGCCAUAACAUUCAUCCCUGCAUCACUUCCUUCUCAUUCCAUUAAGUAAAAAAAAUAAUAAUGAAACAGCCUUGCAAUGAUUAACUGUACGUAUAUAGAAAAUCAACAUCAAUUUU